ACUCCUACGGGAGGCAGCAGUGAGGGAAUAUUGGACAAUGGAGGCAACUCUGAUCCAGCCAUGCCGCGUGUAGGAAGACGGCCCUAUGGGUUGUAAACUACUUUUGUACGGGAAGAAAUACAGUCACGUGUGAUUGUUUGACGGUACCGUAAGAAUAAGCACCGGCUAACUCCGUGCCAGCAGCCGCGGUAAUACGGAGGGUGCAAGCGUUAUCCGGAAUCAUUGGGUUUAAAGGGUCCGUAGGCGGGUAAUUAAGUCAGUGGUGAAAUGCAGGGGCUCAACUCCGGCACUGCCAUUGAUACUGGUUAUCUUGAAUUAUUGUGAAGUGGUUAGAAUAUGUAGUGUAGCGGUGAAAUGCUUAGAUAUUACAUAGAAUACCGAUUGCGAAGGCAGAUCACUAACAAUAUAUUGACGCUGAUGGACGAAAGCGUGGGAGCGAACAGGAUUGGAUACCCCUGGUAGGAUAGCG
rnacentral:rRNA from 1 species